AACCUAGCACACCUGCGGUGUGUACCUGCGGAGGGAUCAUUAACAAGCCCGUGAAGAUCACAUUCUAAGUGGAUGUGAUUUUUCACACCGGCCACCCUUGUUUACCUUAACCCUGUUGCUUUGGUGGGCCUGCCAGAAAGGCCGCUGGGGAACUUUGUUUCCGGGCGAGUGCUCACCAAAGUCCUAUUGAACUCUUUAUGAAGUUAUGCUGUCUGAGCACGCGAAAACCAAUGUUAUAUA
rnacentral:misc_RNA from 1 species